rnacentral:rRNA from 1 species
CUCUAUGAUGGGGAUAACAGUUGGAAACGACUGCUAAUACCGAAUACGCUCAUGAUGAACUUUGUGAGGAAAGGUGGCCUCUGCUUGCAAGCUAUCGCAUAGAGAUGAGUCCGCGUCCCAUUAGCUAGUUGGUGGGGUAACAGCCUACCAAGGCAACGAUGGGUAGCCGAUCUGAGAGGAUGAUCGGCCACACUGGAACUGAAACACGGUCCAGACUCCUACGGGAGGCAGCAGUGGGGAAUAUUGCGCAAUGGGCGAAAGCCUGACGCAGCGACGCCGCGUGAGGGAUGAAGGUCUUCGGAUCGUAAACCUCUGUCAGAAGGGAAGAAACUAGGGUGCUCUAAUCAUCAUCCUACUGACGGUACCUUCAAAGGAAGCACCGGCUAACUCCGUGCCAGCAGCCGCGGUAAUACGGAGGGUGCAAGCGUUAAUCGGAAUCACUGGGCGUAAAGCGCACGUAGGCUGUUAUGUAAGUCAGGGGUGAAAUCCCACGGCUCAACCGUGGAACUGCCCUUGAUACUGCACG